CCCACGAACCGCGAGAUCACGACCUGAGCCAAAGUUGAACGCUUAACUGACUGAAACACCCAGGCGCCCCCCCAGCCAGGUGAUUUCAAUGCAACCGUGUGUAUCGCGGAUGUUGUUAUCGAUAAAUAACAUCUGCCUUCUGGUACAUCAAAACUGAUGUUUAUUGAAUGAUAAUAUAUUAACCAUUAAUACUAAUACUAUGAUGUUAAUUAUCCACGCUAUUAUGCUGUUUAUUGUUGUUAUUACAGCCCUCAAUAUUUAAUAUACCUUACUUCCCAAAUGUAAAGUUUAUUUACAGUCAAAGAAGUAUGGGGUUUACUGCUGUGUUGUCUUUUGAAUGUGUGCUCUGAGCACAGGCCCAGGACAUUUGCCGUUCUGGCGGCCGCUGCCCCUGCCUGGUCAUGACAUUGGCUCGGUCUGUGGAGCAUUCGUGUGCACUCAGCCACCGGUGGCAAAGCGAACGGCCAUAAAUCAAAGCAAAUCAAUGCACAAAUGCAGAAUUCAAGUGGUAAAAAUCAAGAGUUAGUUAUUGAAAUCCUGGCAGGUACGUGUUUUGUGUUUCAGGAGGAGUAUAAACUUUCCUUCCAUCUGUGAAGUUCAUGUUCCACUGUUGGGCAUUAACACUAUGAUGACAGAGCAGUUUAUUAAUUCAAAAUUGUCAGAUAUGGGCCAGGAUUUCAAGUACAGUAAGAGUUUGCUAGUGGGAUGGAAUCCAAGAGAGAGUCCUUUUGGGUUUUUUUUUUUUUUUUUUUUUUUUUGGUAAUUUUUUUUUGGGAAAGAGUCCUUUUCUAAAAUGCAAAAAAAAAGAAAAUAAUAAAGAGGAAACUUGACAAUUUAUUGUUCCUAAUAUAUGUCAGGGAACCAGAUACACUCUGGUCGGCUGUGCUAGGGUGUAAAAUGGACCCUUGGUGAAGUUCCAGAAGAACUGUUUGGUUAAGGUGCCGUUGAAAACAGCAGGUUGGCACGGGGGUCCAGAGCUCCUUGGACACGGUGGCCGUUGUCGUUGCCGGGGCUUAAUUACGGUUCUGCUCCCCUCGAGUCUGCGUGGAUGUCACAGAUGCAGUUCACACUACACGGGCUCUUUAUUCGUGUAAUAGUGAGAGCAUAUUUAUUUGUCUUGAGUAUUUCACAAGUGUCCUCUUUGGAUAAUACCGGCAAGAUUAAGUAAGAGUUUCUCGCUAACACUGUUGCUCAAGAACAUCAAACACGAUGGGCUGAGAGUGGAUGGAUGACGCGUACGUCUUUGGCUCCUGGCGUCUUUGAUUUCUUUUUUUUUUGCUUCCCUUUUCUUACGUAUAAAAUAAUCUUAUUGUGGGGCCAUGGCUAUUGUUUCUAACACAAAUGCCAGGAACCACUUAGCAAAAUAUUUUAUUUCAACUUUAAUGGGUAGUUUUGGUAACGAUCAAGAGUGACGCGUUCAAGUCAGCCACAACACGGAGCCACAAACCAAGGACUUCAAAGAGAGUUCUUUUUAGAACUCUGAAGGAACUGCAAUUUCUAUUUCUACUUCUCCACAUUAUCCAACUUAAUUAUUGGCAAUAAGUGGCUGUUGGCAGGAAGCACACAUCACGUGGCUCCAGUUCUGCUUUGGAAAAGGUCAGCAAGAGGCAGAAACGCUGGGCUCCGAUCCCCGGACACGUGCUCCAGAGCCCAUUAUGCAAUGUUGCCCUCACUGAUUAAUGGCCGCUUGCACAAGAAGUUUCUCAUUACCCCAGAUGCAAGCAUCCUGGGAAUGAUUAACUUUGUGACAUAACUCUCCACACACAACUACGAAAGAUUCACACAGAGCUUCAAAAUAAUGUGCUUCAGAAAUAACCCAAUGUGUUUCGGCUUCUUAAUGUGUGCAUGAUUAACAACUGCUUUACGGCCACUGAGUGAAACGGAGAAACCUAGUGGGGAGGUUUUUGUUCUGUUUUGUCUUGUUUGUUUGUUUGGAGGAGUAGGAGUUUCCUGAGACUGGUUCACGUACGAGCCGUCCUAUUUUAACUUUACCUUCACGUAUUCUAAUUUGCUGUGGAAAGCGCAGGUCUGUUUUACAGAGCUCCGUCCUAUGAACUAAAUAUUGGCGGUACAGUUGCUUUUAUUCAACACUUUUUGGGCCAGAGGGACAGAACGCUCAUACGCCCACGCACGAUGGAGAGUUAGUGUGACGGUUGGUACUGAUUUCCUAGGGCCAAAAAGAUAAAGUUUAAUUCUGCAUCUUGUUAAGUAUUUUCAAAUCUUACCCAGUAGAGUGCAGUCUGAAAUGCUUGGCGUAAUGGGACUUUUGUUGUAAGUGGCAGGAAAUCAACCAGAGUGGCUUAGGUGAAGGGGAGCUUUGUGACUCUCAGCAUGGAAGCCAGGCGAGACAGGGGAGUGGCGUCCUUGGAUGCCGCUGGAGCCAGGGUCUCCGGGCUGCAGGGACACACUCCGUUUCUUGUCACACAUUGUCUGGCUUGUAGCUUCGUCCCCUGGACCUGGUCUCAUAGACUGGCUUCCCUGAUGGCAGCUCCCCACUGCCUGGCUCACCACCAGGGAGGAAGGGGAACUCUCUUCACUCAGCACCGACUCAGAAUCCCCCAGGAGAGGCCUCUGCUGGGUGAAGUAGACCACAUGGCCUCCCUGUGGCUGUGGGAGUAGGCACUGUGAUUGGAGGGUGACUUUUCCAACAGAAGGGAGGGCUGCCGUUCUGGCCGGAAAAUUCAUAGCAGCCAUGAUGGCCAACCUUGACCCAACCAGCCAUCCUUACCCCCAUGGGCCCCCGAGUCGUGCGAGGCAUCCCUCCCUGCGUGUCCACAAACGCAAAUGUUUGCCCUGAGCCCAGCUCUAAGCGCACGCCCCCGGGGCUCAUCUACCGGCUCGGGGCCAGGCGUCGCUCUGCACGACCAGGUAGACGGUGGCCUCCAUGCUGUUCAGCCAUCCCAGCACAUCGUGCCAGGGAGGGAGGGAACCUUUUGGAAACGGGGAUGAAGCACAAUGAGCUCUCUGGUCCCCAAAUCCCCCGUGUCAGAGGAAGGGACGUGACAGGGCCAGUGGAUGUCAGACGUGCACGGUUGACCUACUUUCCCGUAGCCAAUCUCGGCACCCAGGCUCCCGCUGAUCAGGUUUCCCCUGAAGGAUCACUGGAGAGACCUUUGUGGGGAUCUUUCCGCCUCACUGGUUCGCUUUUGUUGCUGCCCUUGUAGAGGGUCCUGGAACUUGUCGUGGGCUGAGGAUCCCCUUGCAGCCGCAUCUGGCUGGCUAGUGCAGGGGUGUCAGUCCGUCGUCCGACAUCCAAGGACACGAUCCUUCUCAAAUUCCUAGUUGUGACUCUGGACUGGGAGGGACUAAAGGGCUUCGCCGCUUAGCAGCGUGCUUUGCCAUUGGGCCGUCUUUAGACCUCGGCUUAGGGGCACCGGCCUUCGUGCAGCGGGACCUAGAGGGCUUGGGGAGGUUCCUGCUGUGCCCCAGCGUGCGGCCGUGUCCGCAAGGGCCUACGCUAGCCGAGGAGUACCGAUGCGGCCCGCCUGGGGGGGCGGGGUCAGCCGGUGCAGGGGCCUGGUCAGGGUGAGACUCCAGGCCCGUGUUGCAUCUUUUUAUGUGGCAACUGACACAAACCCGGCCUAAAGUGAGCCAGACCGCCGGAGGGAAUCCGCCGACCGGCCGGCGCCAGGACCAACCAGACCCGCUGUCCCGUCUUCCACCAGCUCUGCCUCUCAGGACGUGCUCCCUGGCAGUGCCCAGCUUGCGUCUUCCGGAGCCUUCCCAUCACGGAGCGGGGCGUCUUCCCUCCGCUCCGCCCGGCGGUACUUGGGGAAGGACUUGGGCCCCGUGGCCGGGGCUGAGGACUCCAGGCUUGGAGUGGAGAGACCGGGUGGGAGGCAUCCAUUGCAUGCACGGACGGCCACGUGGAGUGGCCCCGCGCAGGUCUCUGCGCCCUUGUCUCUAGGUUACUCGUGCAUUUGCCUGCUCCCCUUUGGACCUGCACUCGGGCUGGAACUCCCGGGAAACCACUCGGUGUUGGCGGGCCCCCUCGAAUCCGCGUUGCCACCGACUGAACCAGCGCGCGGGCCGCAGGCUUUUCCCAAAUUUGUAAGAGUUGUGUUGAGCGGUGCUGGUUCCCCUCGCGCCACCACCCGAGCCACGUUUGUGAUUUAUCCUUUUGUUUUCUCAGAGGGUAAGAAACGUCCGGUUCUUCUCACGUAGGGCCACUCAGAGGACGUGCGUGUGCGCCAAGAGGCACCGUUUUCUCUCAUCCGCGGAGCAAGCAGUUCUCCAGUUUCCUCCUGCCCAAUGGGCAGGGGACACCAGGCGGCUUUUCCUAAAUACCACAUCUUGUUCCCUAAAGAACACUUGCAGAGAGGGUGACGCUUGGGCCUCUUUUUUCUGAACAGUAUACACGACGCGGCGCCUCCGUUGGAAGUGAGCGCUCGCUGCCUGUGACGUCGUUGGAGUGCCCCCUCCACACGCCGUGGACACAAAAUGCCCCUUUGUUCUCGUCCGUGGGGACAGCCGCGAGCGGCCAGGCGCGCCCACCCCGGACCCCGUGAGCUGGGGCUCGCCGCUCAGAACAGAUGGCGAUUCUCAAACCGAAUGCUAUUCCGAUGCACGCUCACUGAGGACAAAGAUCUAAAAAUAGACUUGAAUGGGCAUAACCUGCAAAAA